rnacentral:rRNA from 1 species
AUUGAACGCUGGCGGCAUGCUUUACACAUGCAAGUCGAGCGGCAGCGCGGGGGCAACCCUGGCGGCGAGCGGCGAACGGGUGAGUAAUAGAUAGGAACGUAUCCGGGAGUGGGGGAUAACUAGCCGAAAGGUUAGCUAAUACCGCAUAUUCUCUUAGGAGGAAAGCGGGGGACCAGUAAUGGCCUCGCGCUCGCGGAGUGGCCUAUCUCCGAUUAGCUAGUUGGUGGGGUAAAGGCUUACCAAGGCGACGAUCGGUAGCUGGUCUGAGAGGAUGAUCAGCCACACUGGGACUGAGACACGGCCCAGACUCCUACGGGAGGCAGCAGUGGGGAAUUUUGGACAAUGGGGGCAACCCUGAUCCAGCCAUGCCGCGUGCGGGAAGAAGGCCUCGGUUGUAACGUAC